rnacentral:rRNA from 1 species
GACAGAGGGUGCAAACGUUGUUCGGAAUUACUGGGCGUAAAGCGCGUGUAGGCGGCCCUGCAAGUCGGGUGUGAAAUCCCACGGCUCAACCGUGGAAGUGCACUCGAAACUGCAGGGCUAGAGUCCUGGAGAGGAAGGUGGAAUGCUUGGUGUAGAGGUGAAAUUCGUAGAUAUCAAGCGGAACACCGGUGGCGAAGGCGGCCUUCUGGACAGUGACUGACGCUGAGACGCGAAGCGUGGGAGCAAACAGG